CCCAGAGGAGGCCACGGGCCGGGAAGGGCCGAGCGGGGCGGGAAACGUUAGGGCAGCGGCCCCCGGGGUGAGGGGGCCGAGCGGACGGGCAGGGCCCCGAGGCGAACUCUGCCCGGAUGAGGAACAAAGCAGUGGAGCAGGCGCGUGCGCCCCCAGCGCAGCUGGCAGGUUGGGCAGGCCCCCUCCCGAAGCUUCUGGACGGAAGGCCCCAGGUGUUCCCCGAGAUGUCCCAACCCGUGGCAGGGUGCACGGCCACCGGCCCUCGGGAGAAGUUGGGCGGCCCCGGGCGACCCCGGGGACGAGUGGCCGCGUCGGUGCAGCGGUUGUGAGGAAGAUGCGGUAGCACGUGACCCUGGAACGCAAACCCUGAUGCCUGUUCCCCAUCACCCGAGCGCUCCUUUCUCUGACAUUUGGCCCCAAGCCGAUGCAUCACAGGAUGAAUGAAAUGAACCUGAGCCCAGUGGGGAUGGAGCAGCUGACUUCAUCCUCUGUGAGCAAUACCUUGCCAGUCUCAGGAAGUCACCUGGGAUUGGCUGCCUCACCCACUCACAGUGCCAUCCCUGCCCCAGGCCUCCCAGUGGCAAUUCCAAACCUGGGUCCCUCCCUGAGCUCUCUACCUUCUGCUCUGUCUUUAAUGCUACCAAUGGGUAUUGGGGAUCGAGGGGUGAUGUGUGGGUUACCUGAAAGAAACUACACCCUACCUCCACCACCUUACCCUCACCUGGAGAGCAGUUAUUUCAGAACCAUUCUACCUGGCAUUUUAUCUUAUUUAGCUGACAGACCACCUCCUCAGUACAUCCACCCCAACUCUAUAAAUGUUGAUGGUAACACAGCAUUAUCUAUCACCAAUAACCCUUCAGCACUAGAUCCCUAUCAGUCCAAUGGAAAUGUUGGAUUAGAACCAGGCAUUGUUUCAAUAGACUCUCGCUCUGUGAACACACAUGGUGCCCAAAGUCUUCAUCCCAGUGAUGGCCAUGAGGUGGCCUUGGACACAGCAAUCACUAUGGAGAACGUUUCUAGGGUUACCAGCCCAAUUUCAACAGAUGGAAUGGCAGAGGAGCUUACAAUGGACGGUGUUGCAGGCGAGCAUUCCCAAAUCCCAAAUGGCUCCAGAAGUCAUGAACCUCUGUCUGUGGAUUCUGUGAGCAACAACCUUGCAGCAGACGCUGUAGGACAUGGUGGUGUGAUACCCAUGCAUGGGAAUGGCCUGGAGCUCCCUGUGGUCAUGGAGACAGACCACAUUGCAAGUCGGGUCAAUGGCAUGUCUGACAGUGCCCUCAGUGACUCCAUUCACACUGUGGCCAUGAGCACCAACUCUGUCAGCGUGGCACUCUCUACCUCACACAACCUUGCUUCCCUAGAAUCUGUUUCCCUCCAUGAAGUUGGCCUCAGCCUAGAACCUGUGGCUGUCUCUUCCAUCACCCAGGAGGUUGCUAUGGGGACAGGUCAUGUAGAUGUAUCUUCAGACAGUCUUUCUUUUGUACCACCUUCACUGCAAAUGGAAGACUCCAAUUCAAACAAGGAAAACAUGGCAACCUUGUUUACAAUUUGGUGUACUCUGUGUGACCGCGCCUAUCCCUCAGACUGUCCCGAACAUGGACCGGUGACUUUUGUUCCUGACACUCCAAUAGAGAGCAGAGCAAGGCUUUCUCUCCCAAAGCAGCUUGUUCUCCGUCAGUCAGUUGUGGGAGCAGAAGUUGUUGGUGUCCUUCCACUGAUAGGUGUAUGGACUGGAGAAACCAUUCCUGUGCGGACUUGCUUUGGACCUCUAAUUGGCCAGCAGAGUCACUCCAUGGAAGUAGCGGAAUGGACAGACAAGGCAGUUAACCAUAUCUGGAAGAUAUACCACAGUGGUGUCCUAGAAUUCUGCAUCAUUACAACUGAUGAAAACGAAUGUAAUUGGAUGAUGUUUGUGCGCAAAGCCAGGAACCGGGAAGAGCAGAAUUUGGUGGCUUAUCCUCAUGAUGGAAAAAUCUUUUUCUGCACUUCACAAGAUAUCCCUCCUGAAAAUGAACUGCUUUUUUAUUAUAGCCGAGAUUAUGCUCAGCAGAUUGGUGUUCCUGAACACCCGGAUGUGCAUCUCUGUAACUGUGGCAAGGAGUGCAAUUCUUACACAGAGUUCAAAGCCCAUCUGACCAGCCACAUCCAUAACCAUCUUCCUACCCAGGGACAUAGUGGCAGCCAUGGGCCAAGUCACAGCAAAGAAAGGAAGUGGAAGUGCUCAAUGUGUCCCCAAGCUUUUAUCUCUCCUUCCAAACUUCAUGUCCACUUUAUGGGUCACAUGGGUAUGAAGCCCCACAAGUGUGAUUUCUGUAGCAAGGCUUUUAGUGAUCCCAGCAACCUGCGGACCCACCUCAAGAUACAUACAGGUCAGAAGAACUACAGGUGUACCUUGUGUGACAAGUCUUUCACCCAGAAGGCUCACCUGGAGUCCCACAUGGUUAUCCACACUGGGGAGAAGAAUCUUAAGUGUGAUUACUGUGACAAGUUGUUUAUGCGGAGGCAGGACCUCAAGCAGCAUGUGCUCAUCCACACUCAGGUCUUACUCUGUUGCCCAGGCUGGAGUGCAAUGGUGUGAUCUUGGCUCACUGCAACCUCCACUUCCCAUGCUCAAGCAGUCCUCCCACCUCAGCUUCUGAAGUAGCUGGGACUACAGAAAGUGACAAGCUGAUUCACAGCCAGGCACAGUGGCUCACACCUGUAAUCCCAGCACUUUGGGAGGCUGAGGCACGUGGAUCACUUGAGGUCAGGAGUUCAAGACCAGCCUGGCCAACAUGGUGAAACCCCUUCUCUAUAAAUACAAAAAAUUAGCUGGGCAUGGUGGCACACGCCUGUAAUCCCAGUUACUCAGGAGGCUGAGGCAGGAGAAUAGGUUGAACUCAAAAAGCGGAGGUUGCAGUGAACCGAGAUCACGUCACUGGACUCCAGCCUGAGCAACAGAGUGAGACUCCAUCUCAAAACAAAACAAAACAAAACAAAACAGGAUGUACUAUUAUUAGUAUUAGACUUAAAAAAAAAGUGACAAGCUGAUUCUAAAAAUGCAAGGAACCUAGAAUAGCCAAAAUAGUACUGAAAAAAAAGAACAAAGUUGGCAAGCUCAUACUUCCUGGCAUCAAAACUUACUGAAAAUCUACAGCAAUCACAACAAUGUGCUACUGGCAUAAGGACAUACAGAUUAAUGGACUAAAACUAACAGUCCAGAAAUAAACAUUUAUAGUCACUGGUUUUUGACAAGGGUACUAGGGUAAUUAAAUGUUCAAUGGGGAAAGAAGUCUUAACAAAUGGGGCUGGGCAUGGUGGCUUAUGCCUACAAUCCCAGCACUUUGCAAGGCAGAGGCAGGCAGAUCACUUGAGGUCCAGAGUUUGAGACAAACCUGGCCUACAUGCUGAAACCCUGUCUCUAUUAAAAAUACAAAAAUUAACCAGGCAUGGUGGCAUGCACCAGUAAUCCCAGCUACUCAGGAGGCUGAGGUAGGAGAAUCACUUGAACCCUGGAGGUGGGGGGUGCAGUGAGCUGAGAUCACACCACUCACUCCAGCCUGGGUGACAGAGUAAGACCCUGUCUCAAACAAAACAAAACAAAACAAAAAUGGUUCAGGGACAAGUGAAUCAUCCUCAUGAAAAAGAAAGAAGUUGGACCCCUACCUCACACCAUACACACAAAAAAACCUCAAAAUCAUGGAUUUCAAUGUAAGAGCUAAUACUAUAAAACUCUCAGAAGAAAACAUACAUGUAAACCUUCAUGACCCUGACUUAAGCGAUGGUUUCUUAGAUACAACAUCAAAAGCAUGAACAACAAAAGAAAUAAAGUAGACACCAUCACAUGAAAAACCCGUGCUGCAAAUGGUAGCACCAAGAAAGUGAAAAAACAACCCACAGAAUAGAAGAAAAUAUUUCCAAAUCAUGUAUUUGGUAGGAGUUAGUAUUCAGAAUAUAUGAGAACUCCAAAAAUUCAACAUCAAACACAAAAAACAGGCAAAGGGAGGCCAGGCUUGGUGGCUCAUGCCUGUUAUCCCAGCACUUUGGGAGGCUGAGGUGGGAGGAUCACCUGAGCCCCAGGAGGUCAAGAUUACAGUGAGCACUGACUGUGCCACUGCAUUCCAGCCUGGGUGACAGAGUGAGACCCUGUCUCAAAAAAAAGUAAGCAAAGGACUUGAAAAACGUUUCUCCCAAAGAAGAUACACAAAUGGCCAAUAAGCACAAAACAAAGAUGCUCAACAUCACUAAUCGUUAAGAAAUGCAGAUUAAGCCAGAUGUGGUGGCAAGCCCCAGUACUCCAAGUGACUUGGGAAGCUGAGGCAGGGGGAUUGCUUGAGCCCAAGAGUUUGAGACCAGCCUUAGCAACAUAGUUAGAACCCCAUCUUACUUAAAAAAAAAAGGGGGGCGGGUAAUGCAAAUUAAAACCGCAAUGAGAUACCACUUCAUACCCAUUAGGAUGGCUAUUAUGAAAAACAGAAAAUAACAAAUGUUGGAGACACUAGAGCCCUUGUGUGCAUUGUUGGUGAAAAUGUAAAAUGGUGCAGCCAUUAUGGAAAAUCGUAUGGUGGCUCCUCAAAAAAUUAAAAACAGAAUUACCAUAAGAUCCAGUAAUAACACUUCUGGGUACAUACUCAAAACAAUUGAAAGCAGGGACUUGAAUAUUUGUACACCCACAUUCAUAGCAGCAUUAUUCACAGUAUCCAAAAGGCAGAAGCAAUCCGGGUGACCACACGUAAAUGAACGGAUAACAUACAUUACAUACAAUGGAAUGUUAUUUAGCCUUAAAAAGGAAAGAAACUCUGACACUUAUUAGAACAUGACUGAACCUGAAGACAUUAAUAAGCCAGUCACAAAGAAGUAAGUCUGUAUGAUUCCAUUCAUAUGAGAUACUUAGUCAAAUUCACGGAGACAGAAAGUGGAGUGGUGGUUGCCAGGGCUGGGGGUGGGGGAAAUGGGAAGUCAGUGUUUAAAGGGCAGAGCUGCAGUGUGGAAAGAUGAAAAUGUUCUGGAGAUGCAUUGUGGUGAUGGUUGCACAACUCUGAAUGUACUGAAAGCCACUGAACUGCAAACUUAAAAAUGGUAAAAGUGGUGAUAGGAUUUGGCUAUGUCCCCACCCAAAUCUCAUCUUGAAUUGUAGCUCCCAUAAUUCCCAUGUGUUGUGGGAGGGACCAGGUGGAAGGUAAUUGAAUCAUAGGGACAGGUCUUUCCUGUGCUGUUCUCGUGAUAGUGAAUGGGUCUCACGAGAUCUGAUGGUUUUAUAAAGGAGAGUUCCUCUGCACAUGCCCUUUCUCCUGCCUGCCACUACGUAAGACAUGACUUUGCUCCUCAUUUGCUUUCCGCCAUGACUGUGAGGCCUCCCCAGCCAUAUGGAACUGUGAAUCAAUUAAACCUCUUUCCUUUACAAAUUA